CAGCCGUAAACUAUGCGCGUUAGGUGUACUGGUGACCACGAGUCACCGGGGUGCCGAAGGGAAACCGUGAAACGUGCCGCCUGGGAAGUACGGUCGCAAGGCUGAAACUUAAAGGAAUUGGCGGGGGAGCACCUCAACGGGUGGAGCCUGCGGUUUAAUUGGACUCAACGCCGGAAAUCUCACCGGAUAGGACAGACAUAUGAUAGUCGGGCUGAAGACUCUACUUGAUGAUCUGAGAGGUGGUGCAUGGCGUCAGUGACU
rnacentral:rRNA from 1 species